rnacentral:rRNA from 1 species
UACGUAGGGGGCAAGCGUUGUCCGGAUUUAUUGGGCGUAAAGAGCGUGUAGGCGGCCAGUUAGGUCCGUUGUGAAAACUGGAGGCUUAACCUCCAGCUGUCGAUGGAAACCAUCUGGCUAGAGUCCGGAAGAGGAGAGUGGAAUUCCUGGUGUAGCGGUGAAAUGCGCAGAUAUCAGGAAGAACACCCGUGGCGAAGGCGGCUCUCUGGGACGGUACUGACGCUGAGACGCGAAAGCGUGGGGAGCAAUCCGG